UACAGAGGGGGCAAGCGUUAUUCGGAAUUACUGGGCGUAAAGGGCGCGUAGGCGGCCCGCUAAGUCGAACGUGAAAUCCCCGGGCUCAACCCGGGAACUGCGUCCGAUACUGGCAGGCUUGAAUCCGGGAGAGGGAUGCGGAAUUCCAGGUGUAGCGGUGAAAUGCGUAGAUAUCUGGAGGAACACCGGUGGCGAAGGCGGCAUCCUGGACCGGCAUUGACGCUGAGGCGCGAAAGCCAGGGGAGCAAACGGG
rnacentral:rRNA from 1 species